AGAUAACAAGUGGCAAAGACAACCUUUAUUUAUUUUUGAAUAAAUUUCAAGUAAAACAUUACAGGUGAUGAGAGUGCAUGUGCAUGCAAUGUACAGUACUUACGUUUAUAAAUAAACAGACGACCGUAGUGCAAGAUGAUUAGCUAUAAAGCAGGUGAGUCUUUGUAAAGGCUACGUAGUGAGACCCUGCCAGGUUACCUUGGUAGUGAUCAUUGGGUAGUCAUGAUCUCUGGGCAGAAUGGGAAUCACGUGUCGUGGGUAAAAUGUGCAACCUCUGUAGAGUGUUAGAAAUUGGUAUAUCAGCCGAGUUCACGGUUAAGAGCAAUCUUGGGAUCCUCUUUGAUUAGAAGAACUUUGAUUACUUUUAUGAUGAUUAUGAUUUUGAUCUCUAGUAUUUUCUCUUGGAAGGGAGUACAUUUGGGUAAUAACUGGAUUAUUACUAAAACUUGGCUCUACUAAUAGUAAUAAAUACUUGACCAACUAAAAGCAACUGCUCAACCUUAACCCCACAUAUAGCUAGUCCACUUUAGCCAAACGGGACAUUUGUUGAGUACGUUGAUGUGUACUCACCCUUGCUUUACAAACCACCCCACCCCAGGUUGUCCCCACUAUACUCAGUGCUCAGGAGGAGAUGCUGGCAACAUGGAGAACUUUGAGGAGUUCCAAGACUAUGAUGAGUUCUAGUUUUUCUUAGUGGUAAACCCCCAGUCAGCUACCUGUGUUGGCCUUAUCUGCUACGUUGCGUAUUUCCACACGAUAUUAAUGUUAAUGACUAUGGCUAUGUACAAGACUCUGUGGAUGUCUUGGACAUCUUAUUGUAAUAAAUUACCUUUCCUCUAUUUACUUUGAGCAAUGUGUAAUGAUGUCUAACUAUGUAAUCGCUGUGUACGUAAGUUUCUAAUCCUGGCACGUACAUGGUUCGCAUUCAGUUUGCCUUCCAAAACCGGAUGUGACAACAACCCACCAUCCCAAAAAUAUACAUUUCCCUUAGACUCUCACAACUACACUUACUUUAUUUUUUUAUUUUUUUUGCAUAAACGAAAUUAAAAUGGCAUGUCACAUUUAUCCUAAUUAAAUCAAAUCUUAAUCACACAUUAAUGAAUUUGUAGAUUAAUUAGUAUAAUAAUUUUAAUUAAUUAGCUAAUAAACAAACUCGGUACGUAGUCACAAUAUUAUUAACAACCAAAUAUGGUCAUCAUGUAGUAUAUGAAUUUCAGACAUUUAUACAGGUCAAAUAGACGAAUUUGAGACAACAAACAAUCAUUAUCAGUAAUAGUCUUCGUCUCGAAUUCUUAAUUUAUGUUAGUGACCAAAUUGCAAGAGCAUGAAUGUUACUGAAGCAAGCCAUACCCGACGCACACCUUCAGUACGACCGUCGAACCCAAUUGAUAGCAUAUCCUUCGGCCGCAUUGUAUAACAUCUAGUUAAUAAUAAAACUCAAAUCGACUAGGAGAAGCUGCUACGCUAGCUUCAAUGAUCGGUAGAUGGACCAAAGCACAGGAAGACGGUGGAGCCGCUGGAACUUCGUCGUCGCCGGUACAUGACCUCUUUCGCUUGGAGUCUGCCUCGUCGGUGUUUCCUUCACCCAGAUCCAUAGCCACACACCUUCAGGCAGCGUUUCGAUGGUCAAGCCGCCAUGGACCCUGUCGCCAUCGCUGGGAGCUACACCAAUGGGUGCAAGCGGUUGAGGAGAGCGAGCGGCCGGGCGUAGGGGCUCCCUUGAACAAAGGGGAGAGAGAACCCUACCGACGUCAUAGCGGGCGUGGUAGAGGACCAGUUGCGGCGUUUGGCGUGACAGUGUCGCCUCUAUUGAGGGGGAGGGGAGGGGGCAUCCGCUGCGGCGGCAUAGGCUAGGAGGGAGCGGCAGAUGUGGCGGUGGCGAGGGCGUGCAUGGAGUCAGCGUUGGCAGGUCCGUGACGAGUGCGGGGUAGGCGAUGACGGAUGGGGCAUGCAUGGAGAGCAGCUAGGUUUUUGUGUGACGGUGGGAUAACAAUUGGAUGGGUGGAUUUUUUUAGGGAGGGGGAGGGUACACAAUAUGGAGAUCAGAUGAGUGGACUUAUACGGCGCGUGUAGGUGUAGGCUUCCUCUAAUUAGAGAAAGCACAUGGCUACUAAUACAUAAAGUAUAUAUAUAUUAAUUGUUGUACACAUGUUUUUUUUGUGAAUGAACACAUGUAUAUAUAAAUUUGUAUAAGCUUUGCCGGACAAGUAAUUAAACAUAAAAUAAAAUGUUCCUAAAUACUUUAGUACCAGUUCUAGCAAAGAACUAGUACUAAUAAAGGAACAUUUAGAGGACCCUAAUAUUAGCGGUUGGAGAUCUGGUAUUGUAGCCAGUUCUCAACGGUACAUAAUGCUCUUUCUCAAGUUGUGUUUGACGAAUUCGAGGAGUGAGAUGGAGUAGAUAACAAGUGGCAAAGACAGCCUUUAUUUAUUUUUGAAUAAAUUUCAAGUAAAACAUUACAGGUGAUGAGAGUGCAUGUGCAUGCAAUGUACAGUACUUACGUAUACAAAUAAACAGACGAGCGUAGUGCAAGAUGAUUAGUUAUAAAGCACACAUGCUUGCAUGGCUUAGAUGACACCAAUUAUUAAAAGCAAUACAUGCGCCACCAGAUGGUAGCGUACGUGGCUGAAUUAUUGAUGCAGAUAUAUAUAGAUAGAUAAGCAGACUUUGGCACAGUGGUGCAUCGUCUCAUUCGCCGUUGAUCUUCCUCUCGGUGACCUCGGACUUGAAACCAAAGCUGUUGACUCCACGGAAGAUGCCAUCGUCAUACUUGGUGACCUUCUUCUCCCCGGUAGUCAAAAUAUCCUCCUGCGUGUAGGAGAAGGGGACCUGGCAAGUGCCCUGCGUGGCCAGGAUGCGCACCGUGAUGACGGUGUGCGGAGGCACGAUGACCUCGUAGUCGGUGGAGAACUCCUCCGUGUUGACGGUGUUCUCGCCCCAGAUGUAGCUGGUGUCGAACUCGCUCUCCAGCGUAAUCGAUCCGGUCACGACCUCGGGGACUCCGGCUUGGAAGCUGCUUUUGAUGCCCAGCCUCAAGGACCUGCUGGCGUCCCAGAUCUUGCCGUUGCUGACCACGUACUUGAGGGUCAGCGUGUUCUUGCUGGGCAUGCUGCCGGCGUUCACCGCCUCUCGAGUCACCAGGGUCCUCACCUUGUUGUUCAGGAUCUUGGCGUCCUUGAGGUGGUAGUCCACGCCGUAGAUCUUCCGCAGCAGGACGGCCUCCUCGAUCUUCAGCUGCGCCUCCUUCCUGACGCUGGGUAUGCUGGCGUUCAGGCAGCUCUCCUUGCCCUCGUAGGUCAGCCGGUGGCAGAUGUGGUUGUUGCCGAGGUUCCGGAGCCCGUACACGGCGUCCGCGUCGUCGCCGACCCUGACGACCUCGAACAGGGUGUCACGGUUGUCCGUGCUGGUGUCGUCGGUGUCGCACCAGAUCCAGUUCGGGCUGCGCCGCCAGAACUUGCCGAAGUGGUCCGACUUGACGCGGAUCACCCGCUUGCCGUCGAUCAUGUAGUUGUACGUGGUGAACCUCACACUUGGAUCGCCUAUGUCGUCCGACGCAAACUGCAGGUAGGGGUAGCCUUCCACCAUCCGAGCGCUCAGGUACAGCCCGUUGUCUCCCUUGAAGCACACGUGCUUAGGCAAUUCCUUUGGCUCAUCAACCUUCGUCGUCGUUCCAUUCUCCGCAUUCUGCUUCUGCGGCGGACGCUUGUGCGGACGCUCUGCAUAUUUGUAUAUAAUAAGCAUCAAUCAAUUCAAAUCUUCAAUCAAUGGAUUCAUUAUACUGUAAAAUCUAACGACAUUAUAUGUUAACACGAUCGAUCAU
rnacentral:lncRNA from 1 species